UACGAAGGGGGCUAGCGUUGUUCGGAAUUACUGGGCGUAAAGGGCGCGUAGGCGGUGUGUCAAGUCAGGCGUGAAAGCCCCAGGCUCAACCUGGGAACUGCACUCGAAACUGUUUAUCUUGAGUGCCGGAGGGGAAAGCGGAAUACCUGGUGUAGAGGUGAAAUUCGUAGAUAUCAGGUGGAACACCAGUGGCGAAGGCGGCUUUCUGGACGGUAACUGACGCUGAGACGCGAAAGCGUGGGGAGCAAACAGG
rnacentral:rRNA from 1 species